UCUCUCUCUCUCUCUCUCUCUCUCUCUCUCUCUCUCUCUCUCUCUCUCUCUCUCUCUCUCUCGCGCGCGCGCGCGCGCGCUCUCGCCGCAUGAGAGAAAAGGGAGGGAAGGGAACAAGAAAGGAAGGGAGGAACCUGCUAGACUCGGAUGACUGACCCACUGGCCUAACUCCCUAACACGGAGGAGGCCUAGCCGAGGUUCCCACAGCGUGCUGGGGCCGCGAAGGUCGUCGUCCCGGGGAGGUGGUUAUUGGUAUGACUGACUACGCAGCGGCUCAAGGUGAUUAGUAAUUAAAGGCGAGAAUAGAGAUUGUUGUAAUGAUCAUUUCAUUUAUUCAUGCUGACAUUAUGGCUGGCGGGAUGAUUAAUGAUCGAAGGGUUACAGGAUGCGUAAAAUAAAAAAGAGAAUAUGUUGGGCGUGGCACAGCUGUACUCAGUGUGUGGUGUGAGUGUGGCGUGCAGUGGCGCUGCUACCUUUUCGAUCACCGCCUUGAGUUACUGUGUUGUCCUGAAUUCAAUACAACCUCGGGUGACAGCGGUUCAUGAGGGAGAAUCACGAGCGUUCCCAGAAGAGCCUGCACGGCGAUGGGUGGCGGGCGGUUAGGCACGAGGCGACCAGCAUAAAUAUUUGUUUCUGGUCCAUACGCGAAAUACUGAAGUGAAAUACCAAGAGAACAGCGACGCGUUCGAGCUGUUGUGCUAAUAUGAGCACCUCAAGACAACCAGUGUUACGUCGCACACAUGGUCUGUAGAAGAAACUUUUCUUCCUGCCCCACACCGCCAGACACGCUGCAGGGACGAGGGUGCGUCAGCCUCACUCCAUUACGGGCGAUGCUUAUCGGUUUACCUCGCCAGGCACGUCUGACCGCGCCGUCACGGCCCUCCAGUGGGGCGCCAUGCGGGUGUGGGAACAGCGUCCAAGUGAAACGUAGGAGGGGUUGCCUUCCCCCUCGGAAUAUAUAAAAUAGAACCCUCCCCGAUGAACCAGCGUGUGGUGGAGAGGCAGCAGUACUUGUCGCUGCUCUGAUGGUAGAAUGGAAAUAACAGGCUAUAGGUGUGCUCCGCAAGGAAAGUGUGACGGUAAUCUAUCUUCGUUGGGUUUGACUGGGAGGCUGUCGGACCCCCGCCGGACGGCCGGGCCUCGGGGAAGAGGCGAGGCGAGGCGGGUGGUGGACUUACCGCUGUUUAGGCCUCUCCCUCUUUGUCUGGAGCACGACGCUGGAAAUAAUGAUUUUGAUUUACCAUUAAAGGAAAGUCAUCGGUACCACCAAGGCGUCGUCACUGCAGAGAGAGGUCUGGCAUAAAGCAUCGCAUGGCUGGUGUGCGCAUUAGUAGUAUGUUCGUGGGAGGCGAGAGUCGUGGGCUGCAGAAUACAAACACCAGAAGCUCGUCGCUGUCCUUUAGUGUCAUACACAAGACGCGCCACUGUUUUUUCUUGUGUGUAAUGAACAGAGUCAAAGAGCAGGCGUGUAGGAUUGUGCGCUGCAGUUAUACAUUGUGUCGCCACAAUAAUGUUCUCCUUCACGUUCCAUUGGAAUAAAACACGACAACCGCCACCUCUCGCCCCGACAGGGAUUGCUCGCUCUUUGGACGCAAAUGUUGCAAGGCAGUGUCGUAAGCUCUCUUCGCUUUGUACCCCGCCCAGCUGUGAGUGGAGGAGGGUCGCAGCCGCUCGUUAACGACAGAGCAGGACCCGAGGCCACUGUUAAGGGGUCUUGGAUUGGUAACCGGAUGUGAAUGUAUGUUUGUCAGUAACGAGACGUGUUUUGCAAUUGUUGAUGCCCUCUGGGCGAUGGUGUGGCCGCCCCUCCACACAUGUUGCAGGGAAACAGGUCCUGCCUGAGGGCUGGCCGGGUGGUGGGGCAGCGGGCACACUAACUGCCAUACAUGCAGUACAGACUGGUGUGAGGAUCCAAUCUGUCCUGGCGGCCAGAUGAGAUAACUUUCCUAUAUUUCUUAAACAUCUGAAACGUUUUGCUUAAUGAUUAAAAUGUUUGGUGAUCGCUUCACGAGGGACUUCGGCCUCAAAGAUAAUUACAGCAAGGGGCAGAGUGGUGAAGGAGGUGGUGGGUCGACGACCACUAUAUGCUGUACUAACCCCCACGGCGCACAGACAUACCGAAACUGCAUUUUCAAGCCGUGGUAACUCCCUCCCUUGUAUCUGGAGGGACAACGAUGCCUCCUCAGCAAGUGAGGUGACGACAAACUAUUACGUAA